UCUCCUCCUUUACAUCAAAGCUAAUUGACAUUAUUAGUUUAGAAUCCUAUUUUGUAUCACUGUACAUGAACUGUUGAAGUAUAUAUUAUGGUAUGAUGUUAGAAUGAACACAUAAUUUUACAUGUUCAACAAGUUUAUGUAUCAGAUAUAAAACUAAUUGUGUGCUCUGGUCCAUCGUCCACAUUGUCACUUGUUCCUACUAUUUGUCCAACUUGGGUUUCUCUACCAAGGAUGCACAUUUUUCAUGAAUCUGGCUUGCUUUUUGACAGCCAAUAAUUUAAUUUUCACUUCAUGAAUUGUUUACAAGUGAUAUUGGUGCUUAUGAGAUUUAUGCACAAAUUCUCAUGUUGAGUGGUCAUAUUGUUGUUCCCAAUGGAGACAUAUGCGCUUGUUGAUGUUUAAGUCUUUAUGUACAGGUUUUUGAAGAAUUUGAUCAUGUCCCUAUAGAAAGUGCUUCCCUUGCACAAGUUCAUGUUGCUUGUACGCAUGAUGGCAAAAAGUUGCUGUUAAGGUUCAGUAUACUCACAUGACUGAUACUGCGGCUGCAAAUCAUGCCACUGUGGAGCUGAUUGUGAAUACCCUUCAUAAGUUUUUUCCUUCUUUUGACUAUAGAUGGUUGCUUGAUGAAAUGCAUGAAAGUUUGCCCAAGGUCAACUACUUGUUUAUUGCAAAUACCGUUGCUAUGUAAUUGAACUUCUGUAGACUUGUUAGAAAUGAAAUUCCUCUAGGUUUCUAUUUUCAAUUAUUUGAAAUGAACUUCUGUUGCUACGUAAAUGAACUUCUGUAGACUUGUUAGAAUGAAUUGUGCUAUUGACUUUGGGUAUUGGAAGACCAUAGGAAAUUAUAGACCUAUUCACUACAAUAGUUAAGGUGUGGGGAUGAUAAAGACACUGGCUUUCCACCAAGGUAAAGCUCCAAAAGGUGACCGAACUGAUUGGUUAUGCAUUUUUGUUUUUGGUUAUGCACA